rnacentral:lncRNA from 1 species
CUCAACAUUCCUCUUUGAUUGAAUAUCUAUUUUGCAUCUCAUUUUAAUCUUAAAUUAGAAAUUUAACUUUCUAAAGCGUCCUUCUCAUACCUAAAUGUUGAUUUUCAUUGCAUCCGUAAGAAAUUGAUUACCAUCGUCGAGUCGGGAGGUGUCGGUUUAAUAUUAAUGACCUCAAUCGAGUGGAUCGUCAAAGGAUCUUCACUCAGGCCUUGAAGUCUAUCUAUGGCCCAUACACUUGUAAGCAACGAACGAGAUCGAACGGAUUCGUACAAUGGUAAGUGUCUUAGAGAUCAACAAGAUUCAAUACGAGACCAAAAUCAUUGAUCUUGAAGAAAUCUGGGAGAAUGUUGUUGGAAUAAGGGGCAUUAUUAAACAAAUAUUUACAUGAUUCAAUAUAGUUUUGGAUAAUUUAAUUUUUUUUAUUUUUUAUUUUCAUGAUUUAAUAUUAUAGAACUUUAAAUAUUUAUAUUUUCUUAAUUGUGUUAAAAUGAUAUUGUAUUUUGUGAUUUAACAGUUUAUUUUAACUCAAACGUAUGUAAUGAGUAUGAGUUGUUGAAUUUGUAUUGGUGACAAUUACACUUUAAUAGUGAAGUUGUUGAUGAAGAUU